rnacentral:lncRNA from 1 species
AUGGAACAGACGGAGCUGAGAUUUUCAAAAGGGCCUGUCCUCAGGGUGGGGGGGGUUCAACCGCGUGAGGAUCCACCUGGGCCCGCAGGGUUCCCAGUGCAUCGCCGGGACAUCAGGCAUGGUCCCCAGGGCCCACCCUGCUCGCUCUGCAGAAGGCUGACGGCCACGGACCACUGCCCGGGUCCCCACCCUCCGGCCUCCAGCGGCGCUCGGCCAGUGGGAGCCCCAGCAGGAGGUCGGAGGGAGGAAGCUUCCAUCAGGCUUCGCGAAGGAGGGGCCGUGUCUGUCCUGCUCACUCUGAAACCUGCAGCACAACCAGCACUCAGAACAGAGGCCCUGAUGGACGGGCGUGCGCUCACGGCCCUGCGGGAACUGGGCCGAAGGUGCCGGGCGGGACACGCACUGGGGCUCAGAGGAGGGAGGUGGACGGCUGUGCAGGCGUGGGUGGACCUGACGGAGGAGGAGGACAGGGUGGCCCGAGGGGAGGCGGCCUGCGCUGGGGCCUGGAGGUCUCUGGAGGGAAACCAGGCCUGCGGGCAGCCAGAGGGCAAACAGCAGACCCCCUGCCCGGCCAGCCAGGCUCAGGGUUUUACUCAAGACGAGCCUGUUUUCCGGAAGUCUCCCGCGAAGGUGCGAGACGCAGCCGUCCUGAAACUCAAGCUCUUCUCAUUCUGAAUUUCGUUUCGGCUCAGGCCCCUACCUUGACGCGCUCACAGGAGAAACGAGCGAAGUUUCGAGGCCAUGAAGACCAAGGUAGUUCCAUAGUGACAAGGUGCCCGGCUCGCGGGAUUAGUCAGGCACCUUUCUGAUAAGAAAAGCGAAAACGCGAAGUUGCAAACUGAAGACGCCCUGCAACUUCCUGAAUCCAGGGCUCCGCGUCCCACCCGAGGGAACAAGCGACGCCCCCGGAGCGCGUCCUUGGUGGAAGUCCCUCGUUUCACUGCGGGGGAAGGGGAACUGCUGGGGGAGGUUUGGUUUCAGGAUCUCACCUCCUUGCCCGUGUUGCGGGGCGGGGGGGGGGGGGNGGGUCCCGGGGCCCUGGCAUUCCCUCCGGACAUCGCCGGGGCAGCCCGACCCUUGGCAACACCUGCCUCUUCCUGGGCAGCUGCUGGCAUGGCCGGGUGGCGGGGCCGCACAGUUGCGACACGGCUGCUGAGGUUUCUGCGGCCCCUCUGGUCAGGAGGCAGCCCAGGUGCUGUGGGCAAAACAUGUGCCAGAGACGGAAUUAGAGCCCCUGGAAAAGAACACCGCCCUGCCCCGUUGUGCCCCGGGCUGGUCUCUGGACCCGUGCCCUGUGCCAACAUGCACGCCUGCAUUCAGGGACCAGGAGCCCGGCGUCCCCACUCUUUGGUGAGACGUUCUGGGUUGGGGUCCUGGAGCUGCUCCCCCGAAUGGGCCUCUGUUUUCCCAUCUGUACAGUGGCUCAGCUAAUGGGCCUGUUUCCCAGGGAGGCUGGCAGGACUGAGCAGUCCUCAGGGGCUUGUCAUAGAGAUGGGGACGGCUUGGGAGGAGAGCAAGCGCAGCGUCCACUGAACGAGGGAGCGGGGGACAGGGUCCCUCAAACCCUGCCCGCUCGAGACACAGGGACCCGACGCGACCGUGCGGAACAGUUUGCAAACGGACAGAAACGUUUUCAUACGAGGGCCGAGAGUGCUGUCCCACCUUUCCACCGCGAGGCACCCAUUUUUGGGGGACCAGCUUUGAGACGUAGCUCACAUGGGCUACGACCCGCUCUGCUGAAGGGCACCCUUCAGGGGCCUUGGGUGUCCUCACAGGUUGUGUAACCCUCACCACAGUCCGUUUUAGAACAUCCUCGUCGCUCCCUCCUCCAGGAAACCCACACCCCUGCCUGCCACCCCUCACCUACGGUUGGGGUAUUUUUUUAACCCUUCAUCCUUUUGUGCAUCCUUCUGAGCUGCGGCUUCCAACGUUUUCGAGUCUCAGAGACCCUUUUCCGUGUGACAGUACGCCGCGGAGGCCUCACAUCCUGUGGUCCCUCAACGCGAGAUUAUCACGCACCUAGGGUGUGCCCAGCCUGGUACAAGGCCUCGUGGCUGCAGCAGUGAGCAAAACGGACACGGCGCCUUCUCUGGGGAUGGAACAGACACGAUCAGAUGCGGAGAGGAACCCACGAAAAUCACAGCGUGGAAGGUGCCAGAAAAGAACAAGGAAAGGGGCCGUGAGGCUGAGCAGGGACCGUGCCCCGACCGCCGUGGGGGAGGUGGAGAUGGAGCCGCCCGUGGGGAGCCGGGCUCCGCGAUGGACUGGCCAAGUCCGGUUUUAGCAGGAGGGUCACCUGAGGCCACCGGGGCGGGUUGGGGGAGAGCGGACCUCGCGGGGCCCGCAGAGGGUUUAACAUUGCUUCUCCCCACACGGAACCUCCCAAAUGAUCUGACGCCGCGCUGAAUUCUGUUAGAUGCUCGGCCGACAGAUUUGUGCUCUGUUAAUCACAUCAGCUUCUGGUCUUUCUGAACGGCAGUCAUGUACACGUGUGUGAGAAAGAGCAGGGUGGGAAGUCCUUGUGAGCCCCUCAUCUCCCAAGGAGCCCGUGUCCUCCCACUUGGACUCCAUUCUUUUAGAACCCCCCCUUUUUUUCAGCAUUUUGUAAACCCUGUUCUAUAGGUCAUGGUUCUGGGGAAAUAAAACAAAACAAAACCCCAAGAGUUUUCACAGCCAAACAAAGUUUCAGAGCACCCUAGUUCUUUCUGGGCAUUUCACAACGCGUGGGAGCAUAUUCAAGGCUCUGAUAAGUCCUGCAGCAAAGAGCCCAAUGCAUUCCAAACCCCAUCAUCCAGGGAUGCUUUUUGUUCCAUGACUCCCCUGAACCUAGUGUCACAUGGGACACGCUUUGGGAAACAUGGCUUAACUCUGUGAACAAGCCAGCAGAGGUGUCGAGCCGAAAAGUGUCUAAGACCACCCCCCGACAACCCAGAGCCUGCACAGAGGGGAGGCCGAUGUGAAAAGCAGGAAUUGGGGGCAUAUUUGAAGAAGGGUUCCCUCUUACUAGUUGUGAGGAAGCAGAAGCCCCCCGCCCCCUGCCCGACACCCAGGCACUGGCCCGGCUCCCAGCUGGACCAUGCUGUCCUCCUGAUGGACAUAAACCACCUCCCACACGCUGACCUCACACAAGGUCAUGGUCAACUGAGGAGGGCACCCACACAACAGCAAACCGUGCCUCCGCUUGUUCCCAGUGAGGGGUUCCUGCUUUACACCCACUGCAGCCUCGCGCUGGUGCUGCCCCCCACCCCCCGGCCCUGCGUGUCAGAUCCCUGUCACAGAACUGCCCCCGUUUCCGACAGCACCCAAUACAGAGUGAACCCCACUUCCUCAGACCCUCCCCAAACCUCCGCCCGAAGCCCAGACCCACGGCAGCCUCUCGCGAACACCCUUCCGCCCCGCGGUUCCCCAUGGGGAGGGUCCCCCCCGGAUGUAGCGAGGGAUAAACCCAGUUCUUCCACGGCGGGUGCUCCAGGGGGCUUGGGAGAGGGCCUCGGCAUGCUCCGAAACACCUAGUCCUCCAGCCAAACACACCUCCACUGCAUUGUGCACGAAGCAUCUUUUUGAAAAUAUGUGGCAUUUAUUUGCAGAGAUACUCAUUGUGAUUAGGCUUUGUGUGUCUUCAAAGCAAGCCACAGACCAAGACGUGUUCUAUAAUCAGUGAUGGAAGAUACAGUUUUCUCCCCCCGCCCCAGGUAUGUAAAUCGGCAUGAGGGAGUUCCCUGGUGGUCUAGCAAGGAAGGACUUGGCGUCGUCAUUGUGGCGGCACAGGUGUGAUCCCACCAAAAGACAAAAACCCAAUAAAGCAGUGUGAGCUUUCCACUGCAGCCCACACCUGCCACAGGGGUGCUGGGCAAGGACGUACGGGCUCUUGGCUAAGGAGGAAGUUGGAAGUUGGCGACGUGGGUCAGUUACGAUGUCCAGUCCGGGGUCCCUCCCUCCACAGCUGCGAGACCGUGGGUGCUGGCCGUGGGUCCCUGAUCAGGGUCCCUGCUCCUGAACCCCUGUUUUCUCAUCUGUAAAGUGGGCGAAUAUCAGCACCCACAACGCCCACGUGUUUGAGGACUUAGUAGACACCACGGGUGGGGGGUUGGCCCAGCGCCCCAUCCACUGUGAGUGGCCCCGUUGCCACUGUUCUUAACCAGGCAGUUGGGGUCUGCAGUUCUCAGCACGGCUGGCCUGCGAGCCGCCUGGGCAGAUGUGGCUCCCGCGCCGCCCGGGAGGGCAACAGACGUCAGGCUCGAGAAAAGCCUGACGUGACCUCCCUCCCCUUAAACCCACGGCUCUGCCCAGCGAGCAAGAACAGGCUGUUCUGAUGGUCUGUCCGAGGCAGCCGGGGCCCAGUUUCACAGCCCCCGGGGGCCGUCUAGAAGGUGCACUCGCCGGCUGUGCCCAGGGCUCCUGCAGCCUGGGGGGCAGUGGGGGUCCUGGGGGGCAGGGGUGCCG